UUACGCUCCUGAAAGGCACCAAGAUCCCCAACACAUAUCCCCCAUGCUGCACCACCCUAUUCUACCAAUCACAGCAAAACAAGCAACAAAAAUGGCCGACAUCAUAGGACACGGAAGCAGAAGAAAAAGUCAAACUACCAACACCACCAUGACAGAAUGCUGGCAAAAUGAGGCUGAAAAACAGGGAGAGGCGGAGAGGUUGCUGUUGACUCUGACUCCCUCUCCUCCGUAUCUCCUCUCCCCUUCUCCCCUCCCUCGCUUCAUCCUCAGCUGCCUUCCCCAUUCUCCUGUACCGCGAGACGCAACCCACGCCACCAUCUUAGGACGACGCUCGCUGGCAUGAAAUGGAAGUGAGGACCAGAGAGAGCAGGCAAAUAAUGGUCCAGAACACUGGGAGAGGGCAGAAAUGACAGCGAGCAGUAAUCCAUUGGGAGAAGAGAAGUUGCCCACAAACUACCAACCCAUCCCUAGUAUUUGCAAUGGAACAGGCCCAUUACAACAAUGUUUGUCCACUACACUUCGACUUGUGCCACAACAUUUGAACAUCAGAGCACUUUAGCUGCCUCUGACAUGUGGCUGGACCUCUGGCCUGGGUUUUGUUAUCCAACAAGGGCCAAUCAGGAUUGGUUCUCUUUCCUUUCAUUAAGCCAAUAAGAAAGUGGGGUGGUGGCAUGGAAAACAAGAGCAAAUAUCUCAAGAUCCAAGAUGAACAGAGAAGCACUGAUUCUUGGAUACACUGUGCUAUGAAUUAGAAACAUGACAUGUGCUGUGUACCUACAGUAUUUGCUUGCAGCUUCAAUAACAUCUACACUGAGUAUCCAAAACAUUAAGAACAUCUGCUCUUUCCAUGACAUAGACUGACCAGGCGAAUCCAGGUGAAAGCUAUGAUCCCUUAAUGAUGUCACUUGUUAAAUCCACUUCAAUCAGUGUAGAUGAAGGGGAGGAGACAGGAUAAAGAAGGAUUUUUAAGCCUUAAGACAAUUGAGACAUGGAUUGUGUGUGUGCCAUUCAGAGGGUGGAUGGGCAAGACACAAAAAUGUAAGUGCCUUUGAACGGGGUAUGGUAGUAGGUGCCAGGCACACUGGUUUGUGUCAAGAACUGCAACACUGCUGGGUUUUUCACGCUCAACAGUUCCCCGUGUGUAUCAAGAAUGGUCCACCAGCCAAAGGACAUCCAGCCAACUUGACACAACGGUGGGAAGUAUUGGAGUCAACAUAGGCCUGCAUCCCUGUUGAACGCUCUUCAACACCUUGUAGAGUCCAUGCCCCGACGAAUUGAUGCUGCAACUCAAUAGUAGGAAGGUGUCCUUAAAUGUUUUGUACACUCAGUGUGUGUUACAUGUGAGGAAAUGUUCCUUGCAAUACAGAUUCUUAGGUGCAAACAUUUCUAUAAUAGCAUGGAGCACUUUACUACUACUACUACUACUACUACUAUUACUACUACUACUACUACUACUACUACUACUACUACUACUUUAAUUUAAAGUAAAUAACAAUGUAUGAAUAGAGUUCAUGGUGUUUCAUGGGAAUGUUGUAUAACAAGCUAUAAUAAAUAACAUAGACCUACUUAGAUCAUAUGGGUUAGAAUUUUUGCCCAUUUUUGUUUUUAUAUUUUAUUGUUUACUAGUUGCUAUGACUGACAGACACAUGAAUGUGAGACCCACGGCAGCAGUGAAGAAUACUGCACUGCGAUUGGACGGCUCCGUGUGUCAUAUGACACACAGGCGAAUGGGAGAGCUGUUGUCUUUAUACUCUAUGCAACUGUUUUUGGCCUGCUACCAAAUAUAUUGGGCAAGCCUUCAACUGAAUUAUUUUUGGGCGAACAAUCUCAUGAAAUAUUACACUGUUUGUUCAGUUUUCUCUUACCAUGUAGGUUGUUGUUGUUGUGUGUGUGUGUGUGUGUGUGUGUGUGUGUGUGUGUGUGUGUGUGUGUGUGUGUGUGUGUGUGUGUGUGUGUGUGUGUGUGUGUGUGUGUGUGUGUGCGUGCGUGCGUGCGUGUGUGCGUGCAUGCGUGCGUGCGUGCGUGAAAGAGGGAAAGAGUGAAUGUUAGAGAGAAAGUUAGACAUUACAGAUGAACAUAACACAUUUGCUUUAUAAAACAAAUUGUGGAAAGACAUUUUAGUUUGAAUUUUUCAAUAACAGAGUUGAAUAUGCUGGCCCUAAGCCUCUGCCAACGCAAAUCAGUGUAGGAAUUACACAUCUAAUAUUCUUGAUGGCAGAGCUCUGUUUGAUCAGCAGUGCGGUUUAUAGGGAGUAAGCUAGGCUGCACGGACAGAACAUUCUAAACCACUUAAGCUUUCCAAGUAGGCUUUGAAUGCAGUAGCCUGGCUUUCCCUAGCAAACCACGUCAACGUAAUACAAGGUACUUUAGAGUAAGACAUGAUAAAUACAGAGAAUUCAAAUACUUCCUUAAUUUCCUGUCCUUCACAUUAUCGCACAGACACACACACACACACACACACACACACACACACACACACACACACACACACACACACACACACACACACACACACACACACACACACACACACACACACACACACACACACACACA